rnacentral:rRNA from 1 species
CCUACGGGAGGCAGCAGUGGGGAAUAUUGCGCAAUGGGCGAAAGCCUGACGCAGCGACGCCGCGUGAGGGAUGAAGGUCUUCGGAUCGUAAACCUCUGUCAGCAGGGAAGAACGGUCACUGUGCUAAUCAGCAGUGAAUUGACGGUACCUGCAAAGGAAGCACCGGCUAACUCCGUGCCAGCAGCCGCGGUAAUACGGAGGGUGCGAGCGUUAAUCGGAAUUACUGGGCGUAAAGCGCUCGUAGGCGGUAUGUCAAGCCAAGGGUGAAAGCCCCGCGCACAACGUGGGAACUGCCUUUGAAACUGGCAAACUGGAGUGUGUGAGAGGAUAGUGGAAUGCCAGGUGUCGGAGUGAAAUCCGUAGAUAUCUGGAGGAACAUCAGUGGCGAAGGCGACUAUCUGGCACAUAACUGACGCUGAGGAGCGAAAGCGUGGGUAGCAAACAGGAUUAGAUACCCCUGUAGUC